UCAGGCCUGGCGUCCAGAACUUAAGAGUUGGCUCCGGGCGGCAACGGGGAUGCAGAAGCGAGCGAGCCUGCGAGAGCACCGAGGCUAGCCUCCGAGGCGAACCCCAGAAACGCCAGGACGGGUAACUUGCCCCUUUGCGCUUCCCCGCUCAGCGCACUCAGUUUGCGGCUGGGAAUGACCCUCGCCGCCCGCCGUUCUUCUUCCGGAAGUCGUUGGCCGUUACCAUAGUGACUGCAGGCGUCCGGAGCGCUGAGCAGAGUCCCAGCUGCUAGGGAGGCUGAGGCAGGAUUGCUUGAGCCUGGGAAGCGGAGGUUGGAGGAAGCCGUGAUUGUACCACUGCAUUCCAGCCAGGGCAACAGAGCAAGACUCCAUCUCAAAAAUAAUUGUCCAUUUCAUCCAAGUUGUAUAAUUUGUUGGCAUAAAAUUGUUCAAAGGAUC
rnacentral:lncRNA from 1 species